CCUACGGGGGGCAGCAGUAGGGAAUAUUGCACAAUGGAGGAAACCCUGAUGCAGCAACGCCGCGUGAGUGAAGGAGUAUUUCGGUAUGUAAAGCUCUAUCGGUAGGGAAGAAGAAAGACGGUACCUGACUAAGAAGCCCCGGCUAACUACGUGCCAGCAGCCGCGGUAAUACGUAGGGGGCAAGCGUUGUCCGGAUUUACUGGGUGUAAAGGGAGCGUAGACGGCUGUGCAAGUCUGAAGUGAAAGCCCGUGGCUCAACCGGGGAAGUGCUUUGGAGACUGGAUGGCGUGAGUACUGGAGAGGCAGGUGGAAUUCCUAGUGUAGCGGUGAAAUGCGUAGAUAUUAGGAGGAACACCAGUGGCGAAGGCGG
rnacentral:rRNA from 1 species